rnacentral:lncRNA from 1 species
UCCUUUUUAGAGAGAAGACAUCACUGGCAAAGUAAUCAUAAACAGAGAGAGAAGCUGAAGAAAAUCUAAGUUGAGAGGAUGCUUGUUCAAGGAUGUAAAAAACGGACUGGUGGACUCUUUACUGAAUUUACUGCGGUGUGACAGUUGCUGCUCUGACUCAAAAGAAGAGGAAAGCCUCACGAACUCGAUGCCAUCUGCACUGGGCUGAAUCCAAGCAAGCAAACAGCCAGCCAGGAGGCUGAACGCAGGAGCAGUGGGUUGCAGGCCGAGAAACAUCUGGUCCCUGGAGU